GCGCCCGUAGCUCAGCUGGAUAGAGCGUUGGCCUCNNCCAAAGGUCGAAGGUUCAAAUCCUUUCGGGCGCGCCA
rnacentral:tRNA from 1 species